ACCGGCCUGCCGAUCGGCGACGGCGGGCCGAUGGUGCCGGCCGACGUCGAGGUGUUCCACUCGCCCGGCCGCCC
rnacentral:tRNA from 1 species